GGCUGGGUGGCAGAAUGGCUUAUAUGGAGGACCGCAAAUCCUUUUAUAACGGUUCAAUUCCGGACCCAUUUU
rnacentral:tRNA from 1 species